ACGUUCGGAUUGUAGGCUGCAACUCGCCUACAUGAAGCUGGAAUUGCUAGUAAUCACAGGUCAGCAUACUGUGGUGAAUACGUUCCCGGGUCUUGUACACACCGCCCGUCACACCAUGAGAGUUGAGAAUACCCGAAGUCCAUGUCAAAGUGGCCGAAGGUAGGCUUGAUGAUUGGGGUGAAGUCGUAACAAGGUACC
rnacentral:rRNA from 1 species